rnacentral:rRNA from 1 species
CCAGCAGCCGCGGUAAUACGAAGGGGGCUAGCGUUGCUCGGAAUUACUGGGCGUAAAGCGUGCGCAGGCGGAUUGUUAAGCAAGACGUGAAAUCCCCGGGCUUAACCUGGGAAUGGCGUUUUGAACUGGCAGUCUAGAGUGUGUCAGAGGGGGGUGGAAUUCCACGUGUAGCAGUGAAAUGCGUAGAGAUGUGGAGGAACACCAAUGGCGAAGGCAGCCCCCUGGGAUAACACUGACGCUCAUGUACGAAAGCGUGGGUAGC